rfam:Dissulfuribacter thermophilus strain S69 contig00002, whole genome shotgun sequence.
GCCACUGUGAGGUGGGGUCUGGAGGAAGCCUGAGUGCAAAACUGCGAGCCGACGAACAGGAACUGCAUAAAAGGCCGAACACCCUGGGUGAACUAGCCAGGCAUAGCAAAACCCUGUGGCUCAAGGGACACGGUAGAUGCAGCGGAAGGGCUGUGAAAGUCCAUGCU